rnacentral:rRNA from 1 species
AGUGAACGCUGGCGGUAGGCCUAACACAUGCAAGUCGAACGGCAGCACAGUAAGAGCUUGCUCUUACGGGUGGCGAGUGGCGGACGGGUGAGGAAUACAUCGGAAUCUACUUUUUCGUGGGGGAUAACGUAGGGAAACUUACGCUAAUACCGCAUACGACCUACGGGUGAAAGCAGGGGAUCUUCGGACCUUGCGCGAUUGAAUGAGCCGAUGUCGGAUUAGCUAGUUGGCGGGGUAAAGGCCCACCAAGGCGACGAUCCGUAGCUGGUCUGAGAGGAUGAUCAGCCACACUGGAACUUAGACACGGUCCAGACUCCUACGGGAGGCAGCAGUGGGGAAUAUGGGACAAUGGGCGCAAGCCUGAUCCAGCCAUACCGCGUGUGUGAAGAAGGCCUUCGGGUUGUAAAGCCCUUUUGUUGGGAAAGAACAGCAGCAGCUUAAUACCCCGCUGUUCUGACGGUACCCAAAGAAUAAGCACCGGCUAACUUCGUG